AUAUAGUGCUUAUAUGCAGCUCUUGUCUUUUGGUCUUCUACCUCAAUUACAUGAUCAAUAUAGAAAUUAUAUAUGAAGAUAGAACUUUUAGAAUAUUUGUCAACAGUAUGUGCUCUCUAUAUACAUGCAUAUGUGUGUUUAAUUGAAAUCCUGUGCCUCAAACUUAAAGACAAUUUAGCAUAAUUUUAAAUAUGGGCCAUGUUCAUGCUAUAACAAUAUUUCUGGUUCAUAAACAGAAGCACACACUUUCCAACACCACAGUGUUGAUGAAUAUGUGGUUACUGAAUUCUAACCAGCUAAAGGAAAAAUGCACGAGAUCUCAAAUAUUUAACUCAAUUCUUCAGGACCAGGUUUAAAGUUUCACAAAUAUUCGUAAGCCUAAACUCUAUUGUUUGUAUUUCAAGAAUCUUAACCAAAAGGAAACAAUU
rnacentral:lncRNA from 1 species